GAUGAACGCUAGCUACAGGCUUAACACAUGCAAGUCGAGGGGAAACGACAUCGAAAGCUUGCUUUUGAUGGGCGUCGACCGGCGCACGGGUGAGUAACGCGUAACCAACCUGCCCACCACUUGGGGAUAACCUUGCGAAAGUAAGACUAAUACCCGAUGAUAUCUCUAUAAGACAUCUGAAAGGGAUUAAAGAUUUAUCGGUGAUGGAUGGGGAUGCGUCUGAUUAGCUUGUUGGCGGGGUAACGGCCCACCAAGGCGACGAUCAGUAGGGGUUCUGAGAGGAAGGUCCCCCACAUUGGAACUGAGACACGGUCCAAACUCCUACGGGAGGCAGCAGUGAGGAAUAUUGGUCAAUGGGCGAGAGCCUGAACCAGCCAAGUAGCGUGCAGGAUGACGGCCCUAUGGGUUGUAAACUGCUUUUAUAAGGGAAUAAAGUGAGUCUCGUGAGACUUUUUGCAUGUACCUUAUGAAUAAGGACCGGCUAAUUCCGUG
rnacentral:rRNA from 1 species